GACGAACGCUGGCGGCGUGCUUAACAAAUGCAAGUGGAGCGACGAACCGGGCUUCGGCCCGGGGCAAAGCCGCGAACGGGUGAGUAACACGUGGGUAACCUGCCCUGAAGACCGGGACAACCCGAGGAAACUCGAGCUAAUACCGGAUGUGUUCACUGUCCAUAAGAACAGUGAGAAAAGGAAGCUUCGGCCUCCGCUUCAGGAUGGGCCCGCGGCCCAUUACCUUGUUGGUGAGGUAACGGCUCACCAAGGCUGCGAUGGGUAGCUGGUCUGAGAGUUCGAUCAACCACACUGGGGAUUGAACACGGCCCAGACUCCUACGGGAUGCAGCAGUCGGGAAUUUUGCGCGAUGGGCGAGUGCCUGACGCAGCAACGCCGCGUGGAGGAUGAGGGUUCUCUGAGUCGUAAACUCCUGUCGGCCGGGAAGAAUGGACGGGGCGCUAAUCAGCCCCGUCUUUACUGUACCGGCAAAGGAAGCCCCGGCUAACUCCGUGCCAGCCGCCGCCGUAAUAC
rnacentral:rRNA from 1 species